CCUACGGGGGCUGCAGUGGGGAAUAUUGGACAAUGGGCGAAAGCCUGAUCCAGCCAUGCCGCGUGUGUGAAGAAGGCCUUCGGGUUGUAAAGCACUUUCAGUGGGGAAGAAAGCCUUGGGGCUAAUACCCUCGAGGAAGGACAUCACCCACAGAAGAAGCACCGGCUAACUCCGUGCCAGCAGCCGCGGUAAUACGGAGGGUGCGAGCGUUAAUCGGAAUUACUGGGCGUAAAGCGCGCGUAGGCGGUCUGAUAAGCCGGUUGUGAAAGCCCCGGGCUCAACCUGGGAACGGCAUCCGGAACUGUCAGGCUAGAGUGCAGGAGAGGAAGGUAGAAUUCCCGGUGUAGCGGUGAAAUGCGUAGAGAUCGGGAGGAAUACCAGUGGCGAAGGCGGCCUUCUGGACUGACACUGACGCUGAGGUGCGAAAGCGUGGGUAGCAAACAGGAUUAGAUACCCCGGUAGUC
rnacentral:rRNA from 1 species